CGUGUUUCGGGGUUAACUGCUUUGAAACAGCUGCUGCUGACCUCGAGGCCCUGCGAGAAGGCCGGUGGCCACCGCUUUCGUCCCGCGGGCCCUGCAAGAUCCGUCUCGCUCGCUUUUUGGCAUCUUCUGGAAAACUUGGGCUGUCCAACAGGUUUGGCUACAAGUGAGAGAUUGACUUGCCUGGAAACUACAUGUGUGAGGUGGACAAGAUGAAAGAAAGUCAUUUUGAAUUGUCAGUAUUAGAGCAACUUGUCUGAUACGUCCGAGAGAGGGAGGGAUGGGCCAAGAAGGCAGAAAGAUCUGAGGACAUUCAUAUAUGUGUGUGUAUGUAUAUAUCUGUAUGUAUAUAGAAAGAGUUCAUUUUUUAUUUAUAUGGGGGCAGGCUUUUGAGGUGUGUUCUGGAGGCAGACUGACUGGAUUGUGACUAGCCUAUGCCUGUGGUGUUCUUAAGCAGGCAGACCUCUGGAAAGGUGAAGCUUGCAGAACAGGAACCCUAAUAACAAGCUCUGGAGCAGUAAGUGCCAGAUCAAUAGUCAUGUCUACUGAAGAGGGUACAAACCACAUCAAGGAGAAAAAACAACCCCCAGCCCUACAAAACAACCACUCACUCCUGUAGCCUUCUGCCUUCAAUGGCACCAUACACUGUCUUUAACAACAUGAUUCAUCUUCGUCUUGGGAACAAAACCAAACUUCUGCCAUUCUUUUGAAAUUUUUAGCAAAGGGACUAACUGUGGUAGUCAUCUUUUUUUAAAGGUGAAGAUGUGACGGCUAUCUUGCACUUUCCAAUUAGGAUGUAAAGCAGAAAAUACAAAAAUUCAUUACAUAUUUUUCGGUUGCUACCUUCUUGACAACAGAAGGAUUUUAAUUGCAUAAAGGCAUCUUCCUGGUUUUGGAAUCAUCUCUUUGGAAAUUUGUUCCUUCUGCAGUUGCUUCUGCCUUUCUCUUUUUCUCAGAGGAAGUGCAGUCUUUUAAGGCCUCAGAAGCCUGAAGCAAGUCAGGCAAGUUUAUUCUAACAACUCUGUCAGUGUUCAAGGCUUCGUACAAAGUUGGGAGGAAGUUACAGAAUUUUCAUAUGUGAAGCACAGUUCUUUGGUGUGCAGUUAAUACAGAUCUCUAUGUAGUUAAUCAGGUUUGGAGAAGCUUCCUCAUCCCCUAGACAUUCCCCAUUGCCUCAAGAAAUCCAGCAGGUAAGGAGCUGAGAGCAGUAUCAGCUGCUCUCUCAGGGAGCGGGUCACUGUGCAAGAAGUGCUGGGAGAGCGAUGCCAAAACGUACAAUGUCCCAAACAAAGAAGUAACAUGAAGGGCAAUGUACUGCCAGCAGCUGGUUCAGCUCUUAGGAAUUUUAGUCAGCCUGCAGGUUCCCCUUGAUUAUGGUGGCAUCUCAGAACGAUGAGAAGUUGCAGGGAAAUACAGUGGCCAGAAAGAGCAAAGAAGUGCAUAAGCUGAAGCAGAGCUGUAUUUGCUGAAGUCUUCAGCAAAUUUCAAGAAAAAUCCUCAGUUUGUAGACAGGCUUGUGUUAUUUGGAUUUGGGAAUGGCGAUAGGUAGAGAAUUGAAAGCGAUUCCCUUGAGGAGGCCAGGAAAAAUGCAAGGUGCUUUUAAGCCCAGAAGAGCAACACAAUAUUUCGGCUGUUUCUGAAUUUCAGCGUUUACCCACUCGUGGCUGUCUCCCAUUGUUUCAUUUUCAUUGCCGUUUCCUUGUGCCUCCUCUUGAGGCCUAUCAGGCUGUAACAUCACACUCUGAAACAAUUUCCUUAGCAUAAGCCAGGCCUGUUUUUGCCAUGACUUGCACAAACAAGCUAUAUAAUAAGAGAGCUGGCAAAAACAAGAGUUGAGAUACAUGAUGUAGUAGCCAGGUUGCUUACUUGCUUCCUCACCCUCCUCUUAAAAGCCCAAAAAAACACUUCCCAGAGGCUCUUAACUAAUAGGGACAUGAAGGUCUGAAUUAGCAUUCCAAUCUUUUUAUUAAACCAGCUCACAGCAGAAAAAUAAACCUGACCUGCUUACCACAGAAUAAGGCUUUGAGUUUGUGUUAUGCAUGUGUAAUUCAAGCUGACAAGAACUGUUGCUAAGAGGAAGGAGAAGGCAAAUUCUGGAUUUUGACUUGCAAUGGCAGUGAUGCCCCUCAUGCUCCCUAGUAUUGGAUGAGAAAAUCCGUGGGGCUGACUGUUAAUUGGUAGAGCUCAUUCAGGGAUUAAAAAACAGGAGCUGUCCUCAAGUUACUUUUGCCUUCUUAUACACUGUUCAAAGUAUAUUUCCCUUCAGAAAUAUACCUAUAUGAAUAAAAAUAAAAAUCAUUGUAAAUAGCAAUUAAAGUAAUGAGGAAAUUACCUGUUAGCACCCUCUGAGCUUAAAGACCUAUUGGAAAAUGGCUAUUUUGGAAUAGACUAUAUGCUAUAUUCAAAAAGAAAAGAUCAAAUAAUUGGAUCAAAUACUUGGAUCUUGUGGAUUAUGUGCUUCUGAACAUAUGAUUUUGGUAAUCGUAUUCUUAAGACUGAUUUGCUUUCAUCUUCAUCUGCAGUAAUUUUCACCUAGUUAGAAAACAUGGUUUUUACUAGAGAUUAUGCAACAUGUGCAGGCAACUGAGGAACAACUAUUCUGUCUUAAUGAGGUCAAAAGCUCUUGCCUGGAAGAUACUUUCUAACUGUGCACUCAGUCACGUAUUCAAAGCAGAAAAUUAUAGGAUGGCAACUUAAGCUUAACAUCUUUCAUUACUGGCUGUGCCAGUCAAUCAUGUGUCUUUUUUUUUUUUUUUGGCGUAUCAAGUUAUAUUUCUGCAUAUCGUUGUCUAAACUGUGUUUUAUCUUUCCACACAGUUUCUUUCCCAUGUAUCUGAGGGACACAGUCAACUCACAUUUACCAUUAAGUUUGGAUUCUAAGUCAGAAAUCUUGCUAUUCAGUUUAAAAGCCUGAAGAAUUAGUAAACAAUCUCUACAGUCUUUUAACUCAAAUACUCUCUAGCAGAGGAAGCCUGAAAUUGUUGCUGUUUAAGUAAAAGCGAUUUUGGUAGUUUUAUUAUCUAAACAAAGAAAUACGGGGCGUGAACCAGUGACAUGAAGAAUAAACUGGAUGUAGAGUCAGGUGCAUAAACGUAACAUGAAUUAAGAAAUCCAUUAGGUUACUUUAUGUGAUUCUGGAGUUAUCACUUCACUAUAUAGCAGGACAGAGGCCUCAACCCAAACAUAAAUUUCUACAUGCUACACAUACCAUCUUUCUCAGGUUUUACGGUUUAGAGAUCAGUUUAAUUCUUUGCCUCCCAGCAGAGAAUACUACUUGCUUAUCAACAGUAGUAGCUGUGCGUGAUAUGGGCGUGCACUUACUAGAACACAAAUAUUUCCAUUGAACCAGGGAAAAGACACUGAAAUGUAACAGCUUCUGGUCACUACAAGAUACAGUUCACUGCCUCAGUGGUAUACUGUUUUAACACAUUACUUAUCUCUGCUUCAUUCAGACCCAUUCCUGAAGUUUUAUGGCUGAAUUUGCCAAGUAAGUGGCAGUUCUAGGACUAAAGAAAGGGAUAAAGAGUAGUUACAAGUUGAAUAUAUUCCCGUAUUUAAAUAAAUCAAUGAAUCUUUUUCAAUACCUUACUGGUAUUUUAACAACAGGUAGACUUCGAGUUUGUUUCAUAGUUACUGAGCAAAAAAAAAUUAACUUGGGGGAGAGGAAGGAGGAGAAAUAAGGAAAAAAAAAAAGAAAUACUUGCUGAGUUUGAAAAAGUUGUAGCUAAAAAGUUUGCUUUGAAAACAAAUCAAAAUUUCACUGAUGUCACGCAACUGAAUAGCAGCAUGCUUAGUGUAAAAAUUUCAAUUCCUUGCUCUAAAGAAGAAACCUCAGCAUUUCAAGACUUUGAUUGAGACAUUAAGGUGUAGACAGAUAAAUAGUGGUUAUUCUGAUGAAAUAAAUAAAAAAAGGCAAAGAAGUGAAAGCUUUUUUGAUUUACUGGAAGUCGGUUGAGUUAAUCCCACAUUACAUGGAACAGGGAUCCCAUAGUUAUACAACUAGAAAAACAGAGGCACAGGAGAUGAGCAGACAACCACUUUAUUGUAAAAGUGAGUCAGACUGCAGUGGCUGCUCAGAUGAAGAGGACUGCAAUGUCCAGAGAGUGGAUAUAGCCCUUAAAAGCAAGUAGUUCCAGACCCACUGGUCUCCGCAAUACAGUAUCUGAAGGAACUUUCUACAUGUUACCAGUGCAUCUCUACAUACCAUCCAAUUACCCCCUUCUGCCCUACAGUUCUAUUUCAGUAACUUUAAUGUUCUGAACAGAAAAUUAAUGUUGUGGUGACUUACACUAAGCCAGUUACAGUUUCCUGUGUUACAUCAGUUGACUUGUGAAUACUAAAAUACUGUUUAAUAUGCAUAUGCUUUGCAAGCAUUUAGAAACAACCUGACUUAACAUAGAAAGACCUAUGUAAAACCUAAGAAAUAGGAAAAACAGGAGAGUGUAAGUGGAGAAAGGUUUCACAGUAAGAGACAGGAAAGGACUUUCCACAAAAAGGUCAGGUUAGAAUUAGCACGAUGGCAAAGUAACAAAUUUGGUAUGUGUGCUACCUAGGUAAAGAUGAAAAUAGAUUGUUAUUAUUGAGUAAGUAAAGAGAAGGACUAUAGAGUCCAGAGAUGGCAUUAGUCUUCCAAUGAAUUCAUUUUCAGGCUGAAAUUUCUAUUCAGAAAUUUAAUUAAAGUCAAUGCAUCUAUUAACAAGUCUUAAAAACAAGCGAUAGAAAAAAGGUCAUAUGUGCUUGAGUUCUGCUGAGCUUAUAAUCGUUAGCUUUGUAAGGAGAACUUAUGUUUUCCUUAUACAUUUCUUGUAUUUACUACAGUAAAGAGUAAAAGUAUUAAAUAUUGGGUUUUUAAAAUUCAUUUCCUUUUAGGAAAACUAUGAAGGAUUGAGCAUGAGUGGUCAAUUAUACAAGUAUUUGUUUAAUAAAUUUUAUGUAAUUUUGUAUUAAAAUUUGCUUGUGGUCUAGCUUGCUUUAAAAAGUUUCCAGAAACACCAAGGAAAAUGGCUGAAUGAAAGAGUUGAUUCUUUCUCCCCAUGUCAAAUUAGUAAGCCAGAAUCCGCUGUUACCAUUAGCAAAGUGCAAGAGAGAUCAGUUUAUCACUUUUGAAGCAUUAUGCCAUUUCAUAAUUAUCAAGAAACCAUCUACAGAAGUGAGAUGUAGACAUGGCUUGUCCCUCUUUCAAAGUACAGCGCUUCCAGCUCGCCCAAAAUUCCAGGCUAGCACAAGAACCACAUACAACGUUGUUUGACUCUCAUAGGGAGAAACAACAGCACGGAUCCUCACAGAAGACAGUUCUGAUAGCCGUCUCUCCUGUAGGGGCCACAGUGCCCAGCUGCACUGUUAUCUCCUGCAGUGUGUAGCUGAAAGUGCGGCUCACAUAAAGGAGCUGAGUGAAUGAUGGCAUAACUGUAUUGUCUGUGAGGCAUCAUACCGUUACUUCCCGCUCAGUGUCUUGGUUUCCAACUAAAAGCCUUGAGUUGUCAGUUCUUCUCUGUCCCCAGGCAGAAACUCUGUCAGCUUUUACUCAAAUAAGUAAUUUUGCAUAAAGAUUUUCAGCUGGAAACACUUAUUGUAGAUCAAAACCUUGAUUUUUCCAACUAGAUGAAUACAGGCCAUGGUCCAACAAAACUUAGGAAGUCCAAGUACAGCAUGCCCCGUCUGCACCCCUGAGCAAUCCAUCUUUUUCUGCUUUAAGAGAGUAUUCUAAGUUGUCACUUACAUUGGACUAAUCCUGCACAUGUUGCAUAAGAGAUCAAAAUUAAUGCCUCAUUUUUAUUUACUUUUUUAGGAACUAUCCCUUAAAUUGCUCAGUCAGAGACUUCUGAAGUAACAUUUUAGUCCUUAUUUUUAUGUGCAUUGUGGAGUUACGGCCCCUAUUGGAAUCGUUUACAGUUAACAUACAAAAGAGGCAAAUGCCAGAAAAAAUGACAGAGGAACUGCUAUUCAGAAGGUGAGGCAGCAGAACAAAACUCAUCAGGCACAUGGCAAAAGAUUAAACUGUGCAAAUUGCUUCAGGUAGCUAUUUUAUAGUGUGCAUACUAUAUGCCGUUACACAAGUAUGAAGUGUAACGUAGUAGCGUAGUAACGUAUGUAGUUCAUUCAAUCUAUGAACUAGAUUGAAUCAAGUUUGAACAGGGAGGGCCUCUAUUGCGUCUGAUUGGACAAUGCCUGCACUUCCUUGCUUUUAGUUUGCAAAGAAACAAAUGACCCAGAGGCCUCUUUGCAGAGAAGGACAAUUGCUUCCCCUCUGCCGCCUCCUGCUACCACCAGCCAGUGCAACGCUUCGCUUCCCUGUCGUACCACAGAGGCCGAGGUUAUGGGCUUGUGCAAGGGUCCUUCCGCAUCACCCAGAGCAGAGUUGUUGCUGGGCAUCCCCUUUACUGUCAGUGAAGAGUAAUCAUGGCUCUAGAAGAGUUGUGGGUCAUCACCCCUCUCUGACAACCGCUCCAGCCUUUUCUCCGUAUCUGUCAGGGUUAAUUCUGCCAGCAGUGUUAAUUCAGCUCUUGCAUCUCUGAGCUGACGUUUAGCAGGAUGAAAAAAGUAGUUGUCCAGUUUUAUUUAAAAGUAAGCAAAUAAGUGUCAUUGACCUAUAACACAGAAGUCAAAUUUAGACCAAAAAGUAGACAUUUGGAUAACAUAACAUUUAAAUUACAACAUACGGGUCUCAGAUCCUAAAUACUGCUCAGGGCUGUAUGCUUUACUAGACAGUCUGCUUAAACUGUAGAAGGAAUAAUUUUAUUUUUCACGGAGAAGCAUAGAGGAAUGAACAUCUUGAGUGGUGCAGGAAGGAAAUAAAGUGUUUCAGAUGCUUCCUUAAGCUGAUUAUAGUGCUCUCUGCAGAUACAUUUACUUAACUUUCUCAGUAACAUUCUCCUCCUUCCCUGCCAACAGAUACUUAUUUUUGUUUGCUUCAGCCAUCCCAGCCUGAGCAUAGUCCUGUGUCUGUGAAUGCUGGUAGCCAUUGAUAAUGUUCCAUGAGGCUGUUUCAAGAAAGAAGCUUUUUAAAUGGAAAGUGCCUCAUAAGCAGACACAAAAUUGUUGUAACAAUAUUUUAACAAAGCAACUGGCAGUGACUUUCUCUUCUAUUUUUUAAGAAGUGCACAGACCAUUAUUGUCUGCGCCAGUGACUCAGCUUGUAAAUGAAGGAAGCAUGGGAGUUGGGAGGAGUGAGGAAAGAUCCUAUUCUAUUUGUUUUGUCAAGCAAUAUCUCCUGCCCAUUGAUGUUAACGUGAAAACAAACAUACUCAGGGAGGACACCAGAAGAUUUUAUAUUCUAAGGCGAUUACACUUUUAUAAAAAGGCAAAAUUCAAAACAAAUGGUUUGAAAUGAGACCUGCAUCACCACUCUGAAAGUUUUAAGUGUAGUCCUGUAAAGAAGCACUUUUUUAAUAAUUAAAGAGUCAGAUAUAAGUAAUUGAUGCAUAACACACAGUGAGCUGAAAACGUACAGCACCUUCUAAAACAAGGGAACCGGGUAGCACAAAAAGCAAAAAAAAACCCAGCCAACGAACCAAACAAAAAAAGCUUUUCUCUUUUUUCUCUUUAGCACUACUAUAGCACUUUUUUUUAAUUAUUCAAAGCACUUUGCACAUAUUGCCUAAUCAAAUUUAUCUUGUGAUAUCUAUGAUUACCUAUUAGCAAGACUUUCUAAAGUAGUGGAGGUAGGGAAUAAUAUUUGAAGUCAUAAAUAAUUAUGCUUUAUUAAAAACAAAUUUAAAUAAAUAAGCCAGUCUUCAUGCUUACCAAGGAAGCUGGGUUGUAAAAACAGUACCGGCAAAGAACCAUGCCAGAAUUGCUAAUUAUUUUUUUUUAUAUUAAGUUUUACAUGCAAGGAAUAAGGGAAGAAUAUGAGGGACAAAAUGAUGUAAGCACGGACUGAUUUUUUUGCUUUGUCUAUUAUGUUUUG